UAAGUCAGACUUGGAGAGGUUUUUGAUUCAAGUUUUAGAAGCGAGAUAUAUUGUAUUUAAGCCACGCAAUUAUUUGCUUUAUCAAAUCAAAUUUCCAUUUCAACAUUCAUCAAAUUUCCUCUAUAUUUUUAUCGAGAGCUUUCGUGUCCAUUGCUUGAAUGGUACAAAUGUGAUAACAAUGAUAACUACACUGUUGAUCUCGUUGAAUCCAACAUUGCACAAAAUGAAAUGAGCUCUAAUUUAAGAGACAAUUCAAACAAGUAGUUGCACCCAUGAUCAAAAGCAUCAGCAUUUUUAUGUGCUCCUCGUGAAAAUGGAAGUGUGUUUAAUGCAGUUCAUAUUCUCGUUUAGGAAGCUUCUGAAGAAAGUACGUGGGCUUACUUUGUAACAAACUAUAGGCCAGCAGGAAAACAAGCACCGAUGAACGCCUGGGCAAGACCAUCCACCCUGGGAACCCGAUCUCGCAACCUACAUGUUGAGCAGUACCACCGAACCAUCAAAGGGCUGUUAAAACCAAGUAUGAACAUUGCCCGCUUUUGCAUUGGGCUGAAGCAUGUGAACAAGAUCUUCGUCCGGAAAGAUCUCGUUGCAAAAGAGGGGAUCCGGGGUGUUGACCAAUCAAGAUUCAGUCUGAUCUGAACAAGGAUCAUCCGUCUGAAGAUUAAAUGGCCAGAUAUUCACUCGAACGAAUUGAUGACAGAUCUGUCAACGUCAUCAAGCAGGAAGACCCCAAUGGCCAGAAAACAAGCUAUAUAUUUGAUGAAGAAAAAUCGCUUUCCGUGCAAUUCCGAGUUGUGCCAGGUUCGCUGUAGAGGCUGCAACAACGCCCAGAUGUGUGCACACAAGAACACUUGUAUCUGUCGACGAUAUGCCUACAGGUAUACAACCUGAAUCUUUGGUUGAUUUUGUUGAUCACAUUAGCAGGGAUUAAAAACUUCCUUUUUACUUUUCUUCAUACAAACUUGUACAAGCACGUGCACAUUUUAGCUUGAUUGGAACGAAACAAAGUAGAGCAAGAUGGCACUCGGGAAAGUGAUACCGAAGCAAUAGGUCCUGACGUCUGCAAUCUCUUGACCAACGAGAAUGAUCAACCAAUUCAAGUCGCCAGCGUUGACGAAAGCAUUGACUUGAAGUUGUCAAAGUUUCUCGGUGAUUGUUCAAAAGUCAAAGAAAAAGUGGAAGAAAUUAAAACCAUGUUGAUGUCCGAUGGUUUGACCUUUGAGGAAAAGAGGACUUUGAUGGAAAAUUUCCGAUCGCCUUUUGCCAGUAUCCUCAACAAUGCGAACGUCAAUCCCUCUUCGUUCCCUCGACUAAGUUGAAAACGCAUUCACGAGCCUCAAAGUCGAGGUUUUUUCCAAGUAAAAACAGCCAAGCUAGCAGGUUGCUCUUCCAAAGCAUCACUCAGCAUAUCCAACGAGGCCAUCUCUUCUGAAUAAAAGUUCUCUCUUUUUAAGCUUCCUCUUCCUUAACAUGUUUGUCUGUUCAGCAUUUCGAUGGUUUUUUCUCCAAUAUUAUUUGUCUCUUAGGUCGUUUUAAUUGCGGAUUAUAACAAUUUGUUCCAA